UGCACGCCCUUUUGAGCUUGAGGCACAUGGAACUGUCAGCCUCUGACUGACACCUUCCGGGCUGGGAUCCUGGUCUCCAUCCGGGCUGGCCUGUCCCACACACUGUGAGAGAGAAUCUGAGGGGCGAGAGAUGGGCCCCUUUCCCAUGCUGUGUGGCUGGAUGGUCCUGGCUGUUCUGAGUGGAGAAGCCACUGUCAGCCCGGUGGAGCAAAUGCCCAGGUGGGCGCUAAUGCAGGCUGGACAGGCAGAGACUCUCCGCUGCAUCUUGAAGAAUUCCCUGUACCCCUGGAUGGGCUGGUACCAACAAGAUCUCCAGCAGCAACUGCAGUUUCUGGCCACCCUGCGGAGUCCUGGGGACAAGGAGACCAUAUCCCUUCCUGGAGCGGAUUACCUGGUCACGCGGGUCAGUGAGACAGAACUGAGGCUGCAGGUGGCCAAUGUGACUCAGGGAAGAACCCUCUUCUGCACCUGCAGUAAAGACACAGUGAGAAACCCUGCUAGGGCAUUUGAAUAA